AGCUUUGCGCAGUGGCAGUAUCGUAGCCAAUGAGGUUUAUCCGAGGCGCGAUUAUUGCUAAUUGAAAGUAUUCAGUCAAUUUUCGAAGACUUUUGUUAAGGGAAACUUAUUCCUCAUCUUCAUGCCCCACAAGGGG